UAAGUGGUUGAGGAACUCUUCUGUUCCUCCUCCGGGGCAUAGGGGAUAGUCUACAGCAGAAUGGAAUUGAAGGAGGAGGUGGGUUAUAACUUAAGCAUGAUGACUGAGUGGGAGGGGAGUAAUGGUUUUAUGGGUAGGGCACUAGACUGGGACUCGGGAGAUCUGUAUUUGGCAUGUGCUUUGCCACAGAUUUUCAUGUUAAGUCCCUUAAUCUCUCUCCACCUCAGCUUCCCCUUUGUAAAACAAGGACAAUACUAUUUCCUUUCUUCCCUCCCUUUGUCUUGUCUUUUGAGAUUGGAAGCUCUUUGGAGCAGGGACUGUCUCUCACCAUGUGUCUAUGCAGCAUGGAGCACAGUGGACCCUGAUCUCAGUUGCACCCUCUAGAUGCUACUGUAAUAUAAACAGUAACUCGCGGCUGCUUGAGCUGAAGGCCUGAGGUGAAACCGUUAAUUCCCAGCUGGUUGCAAAGUGCCCCUCCGCCCAAAGAAAAAGAAAUGUUCAAGCCACAGGUGAUGAUUGGUGUUGUAACCCAGAAACGAAAACGAAAAAGUCCCAGUAGAUAACUUGCUGUUAGGUCUGCGAGGAGGAUGGAAAUUCCGUUUUGCAGAGGGCUUUUGCGGUGUUGAAAUUUGGCUUUCAUUCAAACUUUGAAAUUCUCCACCAAAGAAAAUUCUUGGCUUUUUCAAUUUAUAUUAUAAUCUAUUUUAUAAUACAAAAUAACCAAAAAAUAUUGAAAUGGAGGCUAAAAAUAUUUUGUUCUACAAAUGUUGAAAUGGGACAACUUUCCCCUCCCUCCCCCAGUUUUUCUCCAAAAUGAAAGGUCUGUGAAAUUGACAUUUUGAGAAGCGUUUCAGUUUUGGAUGGCACCGCUGUCUCUGAUGGAGAAUGGCUGAGCUGAAGUUUUUCUGAGCAGCUCUAUUUUUUAUACCAUAAGACAGCUGGAAGCUGAAUUGCCCACUCCUCAAGAACAGCGUUCUGUUUUACAGUAUCAAGGGUUUAUUAGAAGUCCAGUUGUAUGCCCCCCCCAACAGGAUUCCAGUCUGAAAAUCCUGCUAGAUUCAUCACAGAAAUUUAAUUUGAAACAGGUGAGUAGCUUGGUUACAAACUCAACCAGUAGUUGAUGGGAUGGGAUUGGGAAGGGAGUCUGUAAACCUUGCACGCAAGUACAUGCUUUGCUCAGCAGUAUGUUUCCCUUGGUUACUCCCCCCUCCCCCGUUUCAAGUUUUAACAGAGGAAGCAGUGUUACUAUUCUUCAAAGCCUUCCUAGCUUCUGCAAUAGAGAAUUUAAACAGGACAGCUUCUGAAGAUGGAGACAGCUCAAAGAAAUGUCCCUACUUACCUGGCCCUGUCUAUCUUUAACUUGUUGUGCUGCUGCCUUCCACUUGGAAUAGCUGCUCUCAUCUUUUCUCUCAGAGUAGAGAAUGCCACUGGGACAGGUGACAUGGAGCGAGCGUCCCAAGCUUCUCGCACUGCCCGCGUGCUGAAUAUCAUCGGGAUCGUCGUAGGAGUAAUUUUCCUCAUCAUUGUAAUUGUCAUAGUGGUAGUGGGGAGAAACACCAAGUGAUAGAAGACAGCGUCACCUUCUAAAAACUUGCUGGGCAAUAGCCAUGUAUCCAGCGCAAGCCCUCCUACCUUCUCAAAGAGCCAGCUGGGCGCAAAAAGCCAAAGAUGGGAGUCCUCAGCACCCCUGAGACUGCCAGCCAGAAGCUGCAUCAUGCACAAGCACCAUCCUGUUCUUCUAGAAGCAUUUCUUCAUAAUUAAUUGCUUUGCGCUUUUGAAUUAACCAGAUUAACAUGGUCUUCUCUACUGGUACGCAAAUAUAUUGUAACAAGAUACAAUAAAAAAGGAUUUGUAUA